UCUUCAAGACGAUACUAAAAAUUAAUAAUAGGAUGAAUAUUAUUAAAUAAAUAAAUAAUCCAUUAGAAAAAUUCACUUUAAAGUUUAAACUUUAGAGUUUGACCAAGAUAAUUAAAAUUUAAAUAAAUAUUUUCAUGUCAUUUUAAAAUACAUUGUCAACUUAAAUACAUGCGACUAUGUGAUAUUUUAAGAAUGUGAAAUUUAACAAAUACCUACGACUUGUACUCUGGUGUGGGAACUGGCUACUGGUUGUUCAAAUUCUACAUAGCAACAAGAUAUAAGAAGCGAGGAACAACUAGCAUACACAUGGGUGAUCAGAACAACAGAGGACCAAAAAGUAACCACUAGUUCAAGUAAGAAUUGUAAUAAGUUAACUAUGACUCUAUGAUGAAUAUGAGAGUAAGAUGGGAAGAGGCAACAUGUGGAGAUCCGAGAGUGGAUAGUUGACAACAUGGAAAUACCAAAAGAGGUGAUUUCUUUUUUACAGUAGAAUUUUCCUCGAGUAAAAGAUGAAAAAUUCGCAUAUUACGUAGAUAAUUCGAGGGUUUUAAUCUCGUUUUCAUUCUGAAAUUGAUAUUUAAAAUUUUUAAUGCAAAAAAAAAUUAGAAAAUGGACAAAUAAACCAAUCAGACUAAUCACUAAAAGUACACGCUAAUUUCCACUUAGAAGUUUGAAAUUGUAUGAUCCAAUGUUCAAAUCCUUAAAUCAUGAUAUUAAAUAAAUACAAUUUUUAAUUUUUGUCUAACCACCAAAAGAAAAGACAAC
rnacentral:lncRNA from 1 species